UACGGGGGAGCAAACGUUGUUCGGAAUCACUGGGCGUAAAGGGCGUGUAGGCGGUCCGCUAAGUCUGAUGUGAAAGCCCGAGGCUUACCCUCGGAAGUGCAUUGGAGACUGGCGGACUUGAGUCCCGGAGAGGAGGGUGGAAUUCCUGGUGUAGCGGUGAAAUGCGUAGAUAUCAGGAGGAACACCGGUGGCGAAGGCGGCCCUCUGGACGGUGACUGACGCUGAGACGCGAAAGCGUGGGAGCAAACAGG
rnacentral:rRNA from 1 species